GUCAGAAUGGCCGAGCGGUCUAAGGCGCCUCAUUUAAGCUCUUUUCUCGAAAGAGAGCCUGGGUUCGAACCCCACUUCUGACA
rnacentral:tRNA from 13 species